AACGAACGCUGGCGGCAUGCCUAACACAUGCAAGUCGAACGAGACCUUCGGGUCUAGUGGCGCACGGGUGCGUAACGCGUGGGAACCUGCCCUUAGGUUCGGAAUAACUCCCCGAAAGGGGUGCUAAUACCGGAUAAUGUCUUCGGACCAAAGAUUUAUCGCCUUUGGAUGGGCCCGCGUUGGAUUAGCUAGUUGGUAGGGUAAAAGCCUACCAAGGCGACGAUCCAUAGCUGGUCUGAGAGGAUGAUCAGCCACACUGGGACUGAGACACGGCCCAGACUCCUACGGGAGGCAGCAGUGGGGAAUAUUGGACAAUGGGCGAAAGCCUGAUCCAGCAAUGCCGCGGGAGUGAUGAAGGCCUUAGGGUUGUAAAGCUCUUUUACCCGGGAUGAUAAUGACAGUACCGGAGAAUAAGCUCCGGCUAACUCCGUG
rnacentral:rRNA from 1 species